GACGAACGCUGGCGGCGUGCCUAAUACAUGCAAGUAGAACGCUGAAGGAGGAGCUUGCUUCUCUGGAUGAGUUGCGAACGGGUGAGUAACGCGUAGGUAACCUGCCUUGUAGCGGGGGAUAACUAUUGGAAACGAUAGCUAAUACCGCAUAAUAGUAGAUGUUGCAUGACAUUUGCUUAAAAGUUGCAAUUGCAUCACUACCAGAUGGACCUGCGUUGUAUUAGCUAGUUGGUGGGGUAACGGCUCACCAAGGCGACGAUACAUAGCCGACCUGAGAGGGGGAGCGGCCACACUGGGACUGAGACACGGCCCAGACGCCUACGGGAGGCAGCAGUAGGGAAGCGUCGGCAAUGGACGGAAGUCUGACCGAGCAACGCCGCGUGAGGGAAGAAGGUUGUCGGAUCGUAAAGCUCGGUUGUAAGAGAAGAACGAGUGUGAGAGUGGAAAGUUCACACUGUGACGGUAUCUUACCAGAAAGGGACGGCUAACUACGUG
rnacentral:rRNA from 1 species